UACGAAGGGGGCUAGCGUUGCUCGGAAUCACUGGGCGUAAAGGGUGCGUAGGCGGGUCUUUAAGUCAGGGGUGAAAUCCUGGAGCUCAACUCCAGAACUGCCUUUGAUACUGAGGACCUUGAGUUCGGGAGAGGUGAGUGGAACUGCGAGUGUAGAGGUGAAAUUCGUAGAUAUUCGCAAGAACACCAGUGGCGAAGGCGGCUCACUGGCCCGAUACUGACGCUGAGGUGCGAAAGCGUGGGGGAGCAAACAGG
rnacentral:rRNA from 1 species